CAAUAGCGUAUAUUAAAGUUGUUGCAGUUAAAAAGCUCGUAGUUGGAUUUCGGGGUGGCCUGGCUGGUCCGCCGCAAGGUGAGUACUGGUCAGCCGCCCUUCCUCUCGAAAGCCCCGACUGCUCUUUACUGCAGUGGUCGGGUAGUUCGGGACGUUUACUUUGAAAAAAUUAGAGUGUUCAAGGCAGGCUAUCGCCUGAAUACAUUAGCAUGGAAUAAUGGAAGAGGACCUCGGUCCUAUUUUGUUGGUUUCUAGGGCCGAAGUAAUGAUUAAGAGGGACAGUUGGGGGCAUUCGUAUUUAAUUGUCAGAGGUGGAAUUCUUGGAUUUAUGAAAGACGAACUAGUGCGAAAGCAUUUGCCAAGGAUGUUUUCAUUAA
rnacentral:rRNA from 1 species